rnacentral:rRNA from 1 species
UAGGGAAUCUUCCACAAUGGACGAAAGUCUGAUGGAGCAACGCCGCGUGUGUGAUGAAGGCUUUCGGGUCGUAAAGCACUGUUGUAUGGGAAGAACAGCUAGAAUAGGAAAUGAUUUUAGUUUGACGGUACCAUACCAGAAAGGGACGGCUAAAUACGUGCCAG